rnacentral:rRNA from 1 species
GUGGGGAAUCUUAGACAAUGGGGGAAACCCUGAUCUAGCCAUGCCGCGUGAGCGAUGAAGGCCUUAGGGUUGUAAAGCUCUUUCAGCUGGGAAGAUAAUGACUGUACCAGCAGAAGAAGCCCCGGCUAACUCCGUGCCAGCAGCCGCGGUAAUACGGAGGGGGCUAGCGUUGUUCGGAAUUACUGGGCGUAAAGCGCACGUAGGCGGACCGGAAAGUCAGAGGUGAAAUCCCAGGGCUCAACCUUGGAACUGCCUAUGAAACUCCUGGUCUUGAGGUCGAGAGAGGUGAGUGGAAUUCCGAGUGUAGAGGUGAAAUUCGUAGAUAUUCGGAGGAACACCAGUGGCGAAGGCGGCUCACUGGCUCGAUACUGACGCUGAGGUGCGAAAGCGUGGGGAGCAAACAGGAUUAGAAACCCGUGUAGUCC